rnacentral:lncRNA from 1 species
GGUUUUGAUUCUGCACCUCCGGAUGCUGCUGUUGCCGGAGGGCCGCUUGCGUCCGGAUCUCGUCCAGCAGGUCGCCGGCGUCGUAGGCGGCGUCCUUCAGUUUGCGCAUCCAGUCGCGCAGAGCGUGGUUCUCCUUCCCAGCGCUGGUUCGCUCCUCGGCGUCGAGAAGCACCGCUUGCAUCGCCGAGAAGUUGCUUCUGAGAUCGUCCGCGUCGUCCUUGAAGCUCCGCAGCAGCCCGAUUUCGUCCCAGAGAGCGGAGCCCAGCUUGCCGAGCACUCCUUUGACCAAAUCGAAUGCGAUCCCCUCCGCCAUCGCUAUUACGAAAGCAGCUAGCUAGCUAUGUGCUUCUUCUCCACACAAACGUCCUAUACUAGCAACUACAUUGGAGCAGAUAAUAAUAAUUAUAAGGGGAUGCUCCUCUACCUGCUCCAAUAUUAUUGUGCUACUAUGUCUCCAAUAAAUACGGUGGGGCCGCUGAUGGUUCCGGAGGAGCAGACGCGGAUGCUUUUUUUUUUUUCUUUUUUUGUUUUUUGGAGGUGACAUUUUGCCCCUCAAAGAUUAGAUACUUUUUUUAUGGGUCAACGGUCAAUCUUUAUCCAACUGUACAAAUUAUAGAAGUAUAUUAUUAUAAGUUUCAAAAUUUGCUCUUUGGAUCUUGUUGUUUCCGUGUCCAUUUCCAAACGAAGAGGCAGAAAAGCAUGAUCUUUUUCUCUCCAAAACAAGUAUUAAAGAGUGUCCAAAACAAGCUGCUAACUCUAAAACUACUCAGAUUAAAUCAAAGAUCCAUCCAAUGCUUAUAAUGUUAUAGAAAAAAAAACACCUAACUUGAACAAUUUAUUUGAAUUUUUUUGGAUAACACCUAGCUUGAACCAUUCAAUUAAUUUUUUGACCAAAGACCAAGCUUUUGAAGCAUACAUCCAACAACACAUUGAUUGCACUGCUUAAUGAAUCAAUCCAUUACAAACUAUAAAUAUCACUAAUGGAUCCAAGCAAUACAUAUAGGAAACUUAAAAACGUGACCAAGUUACCAUACAUAAAUGCACUUGUCCAUUUGUACAAAAACAGCUCUUGCUAAUUAAGGCUUUGUCUCCCUUUUUCUUAAAAAAAAAAAAAAAAUCCUUUGCUCCACAAUUAUAUGCAGUUAUAUUUCUUUCUAUCUAUUGAGAGCUCAAAUUUUCUUUCUCUUAAUCAACCAAAUUUGGAUCCAGAAGUGGGGUAUGUUCUGUUCUUCAUGACGAAGAAAGACCCCACUUUGCGGAGGUCAUGUUGUUGUUGUUGUUGUUGUUGUGUGUGUAUGUGUUUUAUUUUUGGGUAUAAAAAUGUAUUAAUUAAUCUGAACUUUGAUCAUUUAAAAUUAAUUACCUAAUAUUUUAAAACUUUAAAUUAAUUUUACUACCUAUUCUUUAGCGCUUUACAAUUUUGUUUUAUGAAAAAUCACUGCCUACACCUGGUGCAUCCAAACAGGUGUGCACCAGGGUUUUAUUCAUCCUUCAUAUUUUUCUAAUUUUAUUCCAGCCAUUUUAAUUUGUAAGUAUAAAAAAAUUACAACUGACUUUGUUUGGGCAUCCGGUGGUUAGAAACAAUAUUUCUAUAUUUUGAAUGGUCCAAAAGCUUUGCUUUAAAGCCACUUUUAAUCUAUCCUCCUCCGAAGAUAUAAAAUUAUGCUUAAUUAUUACUGAAGAACUAUGCGGUUAUAUUUAUGCGAUACCUUAGUAUUUCAUCCAUAAGUUUAAUUUUCAUAAAAUAUUUUUUCCGAUUGUUAAAUUGAAAAUAUAAUAUACACCAAGGAUCAAUUAUGGCAUACUGCAUUUUCUAAAGUAAAAAAAAAAAAAAGAAAAAAAAGGCAUAGUGCACAUGAACUGGCCAUAUAAUUGGCAAUAAUUUCAUGAAACUCAAAUCAGAAAGAAUGGACAAUAAAUCAAAAAAUUUAAAAAAUUUUACGGCUAUAUUUCCAAUAAAAUAAAAUUUAAGUUAAUUUCGUGCAAUUUUCCUUUUUGCACGGUUGAUCCCAAAUGUUAGGUUCUGGAAAUUGCUUUAUGGUAAAAAAAUAAUAAUAAUGAUAACUUAACAUAUUUUGAAGUAAAUACCUUUUUUAAUUUUCCGGAUUUCCUGAAUAAAAAAUUAAAAAUUUAUAUAACUUACUCCAACUGUCAGUUAUUUUAAUAUGAUUAUCUAAUCUUUAAAAAUUUUAAGUUUGCUACAUAAUCUUUUAAUUUAUUUGAUUUGAAUCAACUAAUGACUCUUUAGCUUUAAAAUUUUAAAUGUAUUUUUAAUUAAGCAGAUAUAAAUUUAUUAAAAUAAAUAAUUAUUCUAAAUUUUAUAUUGAAAAAGUAGAUCACUUAAAUCAAACAAAUUAAAUUGUGCAGCAACAUAAAUCUAUAUUUCCAUUUAAACCACAUGUUUCGUGAAAACCAAACUGGAAAAGCAACUCACUUCGGUUGAUUCAGUUUGAUUUUAGUAAUAAAUUGAUUUCGGAUUUGGAAAAUUAAAAACUAAAAAUCUUGCAAAAAGCAAAAUAAUAAAAUUUUUAGUACUUCAAAAUAUUUCGGCUUCGAAUCCAAUCAAAUAAAAGCAAUGAUAAAAUCCAUACUAUAAAAGCGUAUAGAAAUGACAGACAAAAUAAAAAAGGAAUAAAAGAAUAUUUUCUACGAACAAUUAUGAUCAAGUUGUUAAAAUAUAUUUCAAAUUGAACGAACGGUUAUGAUCAGUAUGUUAAAAAAUAAUUCAUAUCCAUCUAUAAACUUAAUUCUACGAACGAUUAUGAUCAAUUUAUUAAAAAUAUUUCAAAUAAAAAUGAAUGUUUAUGAUCAAUCUGUUAAAAAAAUAACAUUUCUAUCCAUCUAUUUUAUAUUAAAAUUUAAAAUUGAGUUUAAAUCGUGAAUUAAAUUUAAUUUUUAAUAUCAAAUUUGAAUUAACAAUUAAAUUUUUUUAAUUAUAUAAUGGAUCAAAAUUAAAUUUUAAAUUUUGAAAUAAAUAUAAAUUAAAUUUUGAUGGUUUUAGUUUAAAACACAUACUUCAAUUUUAGAUUCAUCAUAAAUAAAAAAAUAUAUAAAAAUAUUUAAUGUAUACAAAAAAAAUAACAUAGAAUAUUACAAAUAUUUUCUAAUAAAAUAUAACAAAUAAAUUUAUAAACUAUAAUUUUUAUUAUAAUUUUUUAAAUAAAUAUAAUAUACAAAUUAUAUUAAUUUAAAAUAAAUUAAAAUAAUUGUUACGUGCAUUUGUGGAUAGACUCAACUAGUUAAAAUAAAAAUGUAUGGAAACCCUCCCAACUACGGUACAUACAUACUAGGUCCAACUUGCAUGCAAAACAGAACCUCUGAUUUAAACAAGAGCAUAACAUACAUAAUAGUAAUAAACGCCGUACCCUCCAAUAUCUUUAUUAAAAGAGUAGCAACAUUUUGUUUAUUCUAAACCAAGCAAUCUUUUUAAACUCAUCACAUGUAUAGAGAACACCAUAAAAUUCCAAACAAUCAAACCAAAUUAUAAAUUAAAUAGUACAUUCAGAAACUUAAUUUAUAGUACGAAAACACAAAUAUAUAUCAACCAACAACAUCACACAAUAAUUUUUGUCCGGCAAGCUAAACAGCAUCAACCUGAAAAAAAAGAACACAAAUCCAUGAAUGAAAACUCUCACCAUUGCAUGUAGAUAUAUAAUUUUAUUUUUUUUUGCAAAAAAAAGAAAAAAAAAACUCUUCUCAAAGGGGAAUAGUGGUCACAAAUAAGCUAAAAGAGAAUAAUCGUUACGUGAGCAAUAAUACAUUUUGAGAUAAAUAUCUGAAUUUUAAAAAUUUUAGUUCUACUAUCCAACUUUCCACCAUAUUUAAGUACGUUUCUUAUGGAAUUCGAUAGUAUACUUAACUUUUCUGAUAGAACAUUUUAAAAUUUUGAUAAAAAAAUAUUUUUAUUUGAUGAUUGUGCACUUCGUUUAACGUAAAAGACUAAAUUCUAAAGGACUCCAACAAAUCUUUGUAAGAAAAUUUCUUAUAUCAAAAAGGAGUAUAUAUAUAGUUUACGUAUUAAAACCGAAAUUCGUAAAAUUCAGGCGCCCGCUCUCAAAGUGCAGUGUAGUUUAGUUAAUAUCUAAUAUGUUUUUACCUCAAAAUAAUAAGUACAUACACUCAGGUUCUGCUCCCCAGCCAAUUCGAUUUGCUCCAACAACUCGUCCAACUCUUCUUCUCCUCCUCCUUCGGUGAGCUCUCCUCCUCCUCUGGCGAGCUCUUCUCCUGUUGUGGCGAGCUGCUCGCUUGUUUCCGGUAUUCGUAUUCACUGCACCACAACAAUACCAAAUGGUAAACUUUUUAUCCGACGCUCGUGCAAUAUAUGCUGUACAUUUUGCUUAAACUUUCUAAUAACGCAUCAUAUAUAAGAUACAUGCUUUCAAUUUGUAAAGAAAAAUAUCCCAAGACUCGAAUAGUAUUUCAGCACUAUGACCGAAAAAAAUUACUCAGUAAAUACUAUAUAUCUUUCAAGUAGAAAUUUUUCGGCAUCCCAAAUCACUACAAAUUAAGAAAAGGUUAAAAUUUCAUUAAUCAGUCUAUAUACGUACGAGAGAUCACUUGUAAAUAUUUCGAGGCAACCAACUAUGUUUUCGAAUAUCUUAACUGUACUUUUACAUAAUUGGCAAUCAAAUGUGGUUUUUAAAUUGUGCAACAGCAAGCAGUCAUUGUUUCAAUUGUGCAAAGCAGAUGAUUGAUAAAGUUGCCUGCAAAAUUUGUGAAAAGAUUAUUGCCUCGUGUAAUCUAUGAACUACUUGUACAAGUAAAAUAUUUUGUUGAAUAGCAAUUUAGCAUAUCUAAACAGGAAGAAAUAAGAACAGAAUAAAACUUAUCUAAGAGCAGGAUAAAGCUAAUCUAAAAAUUUAUAAUCACUCAGAAUAUAAAUUAAAUAAAAUCUCACCGAUACAUAAGUUGGGGGACAGAAAUCAAAAUCAAUUGCUUGAGAAGAUGGGGAUUGGAGAUUGUGAAUAGCAAAUGAUUUGUAACUCAUGUUGCAGUAAGUAAUUAAGUAUGUGUAUAUAUAAGUAUGCUACCGGAGGUUUAUCCAAGAGGGAAAACUUCAAUUUGGACCCUAUGUAAUUUAAUGCAUUUUCACUUUAUUAUCCUGUGCUUUAAAUAGUUUUACUUUAAAAUCUUGUGGUUAUUUUUUGCUUUGUAUCAUAGUAAGAACUUGCUAUCAAGUGAACUACUAAAGUGCUAAAAUUUAUAAAAUAUACUAUUUUACUAUUCUAUAAUCCAUAAAUUUUAGCACUUCAAUAUUCUUUGGUAGUAGUUCAGCGAAAUAAAGACACAACAAUAAAAUAGCAAAGUGAAAUAUUUUGUAGCAAAUGAACCACGUGGGGCGGGGCUAAUGGAAGUUUUUCCAUCUGGAUUAAAAAAAAAAAGAAUGAAAAUAAAAAUUAAAGAAAGAGGUUUAUAUGCUAGCUACGAUAGAAUAUUAAAGGUGCUAGUCAGCUAAUUAAAUAGUAGUCAAGAGUUCCAAAUUAAUUACCUUUCAUUAACAGUGACAUAUUUGAUGUGAUCGACACUGGUGUCGACAAAUUGUCCAUCUGCAUCGAGCAACAGCGGGCAAUCCUUAAUCUCUAACUCCUCAAGUGCGGUCAUUUUGUGGUAACGGAGACUGCUGCACCCCCAGAUCUCCAAGAGGCGCAGGUCGGCGAGCUCCCCGAGCCAAUCUUCAAUUCUCUCAAGAUCUUCACAAUCCUUUAUUGUCAUAUACCGGAGGGAGGUGAGACUCCGCAAGCUCUCGGGCAAACAAGUUAGCUGCUGACAUUUUUCUAUUGUUAGAUCCCACAGCUCCUUAUUUGGUGGCGGUUGGAGUGAAUCAGCGGCAUCACCGCCGUCAUCAAGUGGCGUCGCACGUUCGAGAAUUAAUGAUAGGUUCCCGCUGCUUGUUCCGGAAAUGGUCAGAAAACCAACCGAUGCUGGGAGGCAAGGCUCCGGCCUCAAUUUAGGGCAUUCUUUAAGGUACAAAUGAGUGAGACACGGAAAAAUGGGAACUCGUUCUCGCCUGCCUUCUUCGUCAUCCACCGUCAACACAGUCACCCAUUCUCGCAGCACCGGCAUGCAGGACAAUUCAAGGCUCCUCAGGGCAGGGAACUUAUCUACGCCCAAAUUUGUUAUUGCGGGCAUAUUUCGUACAGUUAGUUCUUUAAGAAAAGGAAGUUGCCCCAGCGGCGGGAGUGAGCUGCAUCUGGGAAUAUUCGCAAGUUGGAUUUCAACGAGAUUAGGGAGGCACGAGCCAAUCCUAUUCAUCAUCCAGCUAGGAAACUUCCCUCUUGCAUAGCCUUCUAAUUUUAAAUUCUCUAGCUUUUGAUGUGGUUGAAGAUUUUCUAGCACGGUAUCGAUCUCUUCCGCUGGUAGUACAGUAUCCAUGCCUUCUUCCCCACUUAAAACGUUCCAUACCAACUUCAAAGACCGCAGGUUCUUCUCUAUCAAAUUUGCAGCCUUGGCAUCAACUGGACUCGUUACAUUUCCAAGACCAUUGAUCUCCAGCUUGCCGACAAGCUUCAAGUGCGCCAACUCAGAAAUGCUAGCACAAUGUUCAACGCGGUCUUGCUUGCCGAUGACAAAAACGGACAAUUCCUGCAAGCUAACUACCUUGCCGAUCCCUCGGGGCAUGCCCUUCAAUUCCGAGCAAUUGUUGUUUAACAAGACUCUAAGUUUGGUCAGUUUUUGGAUCAUUUUAGGCAGCUCACAUAAUUUUCCACAGCCACUAAUGUCGAGUUUCACUAAAUGCUGAAGAUCACUUGACGAUGAGGGUAAUGAUAGUAGAGAACCGCACCCAGAAAGAUUCAGAAUACGCAAGUUUUGAAGGCUCCCAAUGCAUUCAGGUAAUGCCACCAAAGAAUUUAGAGCGGAUAGGUUUAAGUUAUGCAGGUUUUUGAGAUCACAUAAUGAUGAGGGUAAUGAUAGUAGAGAACUGCAGUAGCUUAAAUCUAAAAUCCGCAAAUUCGUAAGACUUCCUAACAAUGUGGGUAAUGUACAGAUCUUGCAACAGCUUGAAAGAUUCAAGGUUUGCAAGUUGCAGAGGCUGGUAAUUGAUUCAGGCAAUUCUUGUAUACUGUUCUCCGAAAGGUUGAGGUAUCUUAAGAGCUUCAACUCACCGAUUGAGCUUGGCAGCAUAGAAAUUUCGGAACCAUAUAAAUCCAACAGGCGUAAGUAUUUUGCCUCGCUAUAAAAAGCCAUAAUAUGUGAGCUAGAUUUCCUAAAUUGAAGAGCUCGCAACCUCCGCGCUAUUGUGGUUGGAAUAUGUGUCAUGACACUACUGUAGUGUAUUGAUGCAUAGCGGCGACCUUUUGGGAUCCUUGUCGACUCUUCUCCAACUAUAACAGCAACUUCUUCUCUUGCUACAGACAUUAAGAGGUCGUGCACUAAAUCAUGCAUCCGGUACGUAACAUUUCCAUAACAUUUCUCGUCGUCCUCAUCCUCCACGUCUUGAAGGAAAGACAUCCAUAAUAGAUCGUUAAAGUACUCAUUCCCAAUAUCUUCCAUCGAAGUCCAUGUUUCAUUCGAUGAAAUGAAGCCUAAAGCAAUCCAUUGCCGGAUCAAGUCAUCCUUGUCAAUCUCGUAGUCUUUUGGGAAUAUGGAGCAGUAAGCAAAGCACUGCUUCAAAGCCGACGGCAUCUGAAUGUAGCUCAACUUUAAUGAUGGUAAAAUAGUUGUCUCUUCUUUCAGACUCCAAAUUUCGUUAUCCCUAAUAGCGGACCAUGCAUCCUCUGUCCUCUUAAAGAGCAUCAUACUUCCUAAAGCAUUCGCUGCUAACGGCACACCGCUGCACUUCUUAACUAUCUGCUGUCCGAUUGCCACCAAAUUUGGAUAGCCGUUCUCUUCCCCAUUAUCGAAUGCCCGUCUUUUGAACAAUGUCCAACAAUCAUCAUCUGAUAAGCCUUUCACACGGUGUGGUUCUACUGUUUUCAUUAUCGUCGCGACUUUUUCGCUCCGCGUGGUCACUAAGAUUUUGCUUCCCUUCUUGCCGUCCUUAAAUACAACCUUCAAUUCCUUCCACUUAUCCGGAUCUUCGUUCCAUACAUCAUCCAGCACCAGCAAAAAUCUCUUCUGGCUACAGAUCCUGACAAGGCACCUCGCGACGGCGUCCGGGUUAUCAAGAUCAUUACACUUCUCUUCAGUUUCAUCUAUCACUGCCUUUGCAAUCUUCUUCAUGUCGAAAUUGGUAGACACGUAAACCCACACCCGUAGAUCAAAGCGCUGCUGGCCCGUAACCCGGCCGUCAUUGAAGGCCAGCUGAGCGAGCGUCGUCUUCCCCAAACCCCCCAAUCCCACGAUCGGAAUGACUGACACGUCGUGAUCGCCGCCCGUCUCUAGCAGUAGCUUCACAAUUUUCUCUUUAUCACCAUCUCUCCCUACUAUCGUCUUUUCGUCGACGACCGAGAAUGUCUCAGGGCGCUUGAACUCAGCCUGCCGAACAGGGCCAGCUUGGGCAAGACCAAAAUCAUGCCUCUGUUUCGCGAUCUUACCGAUCUUUUCUCUGAGCUCUUUCAUCCUGUGUGCCAUCUUGCGCUUAGACUUCAGAUGCAUCGGAUUAGCGCGGGACAGAAAUCCACAUACCUUUUCAGCUGGCUGGUUUUGAUCCUGCACCUCGGGAUACUGCUGUUGCCGGAGGACCGCUUGCGUCCGGAUCUCGUCCAGCAGGUCGUCGGCGUCGUAAGCGGCGUCCUUCAGUUUGCGCAGCCAGUCGCGCAGAGCGUGGCUCUCCUUCCCAGCGCUGCUUCGCUCCUGGGCGUCGUGAAGCACCGCUUGGAUCGCCGAGAAGUUGCUUCUGAGGUCGUCCGCGUCGUCCUUGAAGCUCCGCAGCAGUCCGAUUUCGUCCCAGAGAGCGGAGCCCAGCUUGCCGAGCACUCCCGUCACCAAGUCGGAUGCGAUCCCGUCCGCCAUCGCGCGUGCUGCUGCCUAAUUCUUCUCAAUACGAAC